GAUGAAGAACGUAGCGAAAUGCGAUACGUAAUGUGAAUUGCAGAAUUCAGUGAAUCAUCGAGUCUUUGAACGCACAUUGCGCCCCCUGGUAUUCCGGGGGGCAUGCCUGUCCGAGCGUCAUUGCUGCCCUCAAGCACGGCUUGUGUGUUGGGCCUCCGUCCUCCUCCCGGGGGACGGGCCCGAAAGGCAGCGGCGGCAACGCGUCCGGUCCUCGAGCGUAUGGGGCUUCGUCACCCGCUCUUGUAGGCCCGGCCGGCGCUUGCCGACACAUCAAUCUUUUUUCCAGGUUGACCUCGGAUCAGGUAGGGAUACCCGCUGAACUUAAGCAUAUCAAUAAGCGGAGGA
rnacentral:misc_RNA from 1 species